rnacentral:lncRNA from 1 species
CGUUCUACUGCUAUCCCAUAUGGGUCCCAUGUCAUCUGAUUGGUGUGGCACUUCGCACCUCUUUUACGCUUUAGCAAACGAUGCUAUGAUUAUUACUAACAGAAACCCCCACUCCCCCCCGAAAAGGAAAAAAAAAAAGAGGAGACUUGUAAAUUUGAUCCAUACUUGUAGAUAUUUUUUGAAUAUUUAAAAUCAGGGGAAAUUUUUGCAGGUUCUGCUAAAUUUUCUCGGUUAAUUUGUAUAGCUUCAAGGGUGGCACCAUAAUUGAGUUGUGGACUGGAAAGCAGAGUUGGCAGUUCAUUAAGGAAGUGUGAAAUCUUUUUCAUGCCAUUGGUAUGCUGAUUAAACGCUCCAUAGCUGAUCUUUCAUUCAAUUCAUUUGAAUUCUUGAUUUUAAGUUCCUAUCUUUCUUUUCAGUUUUGUUGAUUCAUUUCUCGAGUGAGACCACAAUUUCUAAACCCCUUUACAGUACAUGGUUCAAAUCAGUUCUUAUGGGGUAUAACAAUAGUUUCUUAGUGUAGUUAGAGUAUAAUAUGUAAGAUAUAUGGAUUUAUAUCUAGAUAUAUGGACCUAUAUCUACACACAUAUGAACAAUAU